GUGCCAGGGACUGGGUGCCGGUGGGGUCCGCUGCGAAUACUGGGGGUGGGCAGUUGGGACUCAGGGCCCCAGGCCCUCGGGGCUGCGGGGCCGCCUCUUCCAAACGCGCCUUAAGCGGUUUUGCAGUGGCUUUCCGCCGGAGGGCUGGGAGGCGCCCCGGCCCUGAGUCAGUCACCCUUUGGCCGGACAGGCGGUUCCCGGGCGCGGAGGAUGGAAACCUGGCGGUAACCUCUGCAGGUCGUGCCACUCGGUGUGCGCAAGGUCUCCAGAGGCAUCUUUUCAUUUUUAGGGGGCACUUUCCACGAAUUCAUUUGAGCUACACAGCAGUCCUGGGCAGUGGGGAGUGGUGAGCUCCAUUGUGUACACUUGGAAGCAGCCCAGAAAGCUUCUAGCACGGUGCUUUGUGCACAGUAAACACUCCAGCGGCUGUUGACCAAUGAAUGAAUGAAGAUUGUAGGCUCAAAUAUUCAAGUUAUCAAAGUGCAAAGAAUGAGAGGUUGUUUGCACUGGACUUCAAAAAUAAAUAGCCUGGACCUGUACUGUCUUACACAACAGCUAUGAGCUACUGGUAUGUGGCUAGUCCAAACUGAAAUGCCCUUUAAGAGUAAAACACACACUGGAUUUCAAAGACUUAGUACAAAGAAAAAAUGCAAAAUAGCUCAUUAGUAAUUUUUAUGUUAAUGACAUGUUGAAAUAACAUUUUGAUAUAUUAAGUAAAAUAUAGUAUUAGAAUUAA
rnacentral:lncRNA from 1 species